CAUGAACGAUGUGUUUGCUUACAACUGUGUGGUUUUUCUUCUCACACGUGUUAAAGUCCCGGGCAGUCUCAGCUGUUAACUUCGCCAGCAACAAGUCAACAACAUAACAUUACUCAUAAAUUAACGUCUGCACCAUUGUAACCAACACGACAACCAAAGUGGCUAGUAACGAUAGAAGUUAAUGUUAGUUUAGUUAAUAACGUUAGUACGUUUGUUAGCUUUAGUACUAAGCCAGCAGGGUUAAACAUACAUUAAGUGUUUUUUUCUGUGUCGUUUUACAUUUAAAUGCUAGCUGGUUGGAUAAGUUACUGGAGUCAACCAUACAACCUGAGGGAACUGGGACGAAGAUUUGUCAAAGACUUUGCAAGUUUACUGAAUCAAAGAAGGAGAGGUUUCUGUACUUCCUGAGAGAAACCCUUGCUCGUAGAUAAUGCUGGACAUAACGUUACCUGAUAAACAUCUUUCUGCUCAUCGUUCAAAGCUACUGUACUGAUCAAGCCCUGCCAAGCCAUGUGGUCGUCCUGUUCCCUCUGUCCAUGGUCCUGAAACAACUAGUGCAACUGGAAACUUCUCUUUCCUUUUGAGUCAUAUUUUCUGAAUUUUGGACAUGGUUACUACUACUACUAAUAAAAAUAAUAGUAUGAAUAAUUUUUAUUGUCAUCUUAAUCUAAUAAGAACAAGUAAGUGAGAUACAUAUAAGCAUACGUUUGCAGACUUUUAUAAUAAAUAAGUGUUCCAAAUAAGAGACCACAUACAUUUUU